rnacentral:other from 1 species
AUUUCCCUGCGGUGUUCGUGAUAGGCUUUUUUAAACCCACAUUUAUUAUAAGGGAUGCUGUACUCUUACUGUGAAUUGCAGGCCUCCCGCAUUAUGCGGAAGUUGGAAGCAGCGAAGCAGUAAGGAGGCAACCCACCUGCCUUAACUGUGCAGGUUAUAAAUGAGUCUACACGGCAUUUGCGGGGGAGUG